GAGUUUGAUCCUGGCUCAGGACGAACGCUGGCGGCGCGCCUAACACAUGCAAGUCGAACGAGCGAGAGAGAGCUUGCUUUCUCAAGCGAGUGGCGAACGGGUGAGUAACGCGUGAGGAACCUGCCUCAAAGAGGGGGACAACAGUUGGAAACGACUGCUAAUACCGCAUAAGCCCACGGUGCCGCAUGGCACAGAGGGAAAAGGAGCAAUCCGCUUUGAGAUGGCCUCGCGUCCGAUUAGCUAGUUGGUGAGGUAAUGGCCCACCAAGGCAACGAUCGGUAGCCGGACUGAGAGGUUGAACGGCCACAUUGGGACUGAGACACGGCCCAGACUCCUACGGGAGGCAGCAGUGGGGAAUAUUGCACAAUGGGGGAAACCCUGAUGCAGCGACGCCGCGUGGAGGAAGAAGGUCUUCGGAUUGUAAACUCCUGUUGUUGAGGAAGAUAAUGACGGUACUCAACAAGGAAGUGACGGCUAACUACGUGCCAGCAGCCGCGGUAAAACGUAGGUCACAAGCGUUGUCCGGAAUUACUGGGUGUAAAGGGAGCGCAGGCGGGAAGACAAGUUGGAAGUGAAAUCUAUGGGCUCAACCCAUAAACUGCUUUCAAAACUGUUUUUCUUGAGUAAUGCAGAGGUAGGCGGAAUUCCCGGUGUAGCGGUGGAAUGCGUAGAUAUCGGGAGGAACACCAGUGGCGAAGGCGGCCUACUGGGCACCAACUGACGCUGAGGCUCGAAAGUGUGGGUAGCAAACAGGAUUAGAUACCCUGGUAGUCCACACCGUAAACGAUGAUUACUAGGUGUUGGAGGAUUGACCCCUUCAGUGCCGCAGUUAACACAAUAAGUAAUCCACCUGGGGAGUACGACCGCAAGGUUGAAACUCAAAGGAAUUGACGGGGGCCCGCACAAGCAGUGGAGUAUGUGGUUUAAUUCGACGCAACGCGAAGAACCUUACCAAGUCUUGACAUCCCUUGACGAUGCUGGAAACAGUAUUUCUCUUCGGAGCAAGGAGACAGGUGGUGCAUGGUUGUCGUCAGCUCGUGUCGUGAGAUGUUGGGUUAAGUCCCGCAACGAGCGCAACCCUUAUGGUCAGUUACUACGCAAGAGGACUCUGGCCAGACUGCCGUUGACAAAACGGAGGAAGGUGGGGAUGACGUCAAAUCAUCAUGCCCUUUAUGACUUGGGCUACACACGUACUACAAUGGCGUUAAACAAAGAGAAGCAAGACCGCGAGGUGGAGCAAAACUCAGAAACAACGUCCCAGUUCGGACUGCAGGCUGCAACUCGCCUGCACGAAGUCGGAAUUGCUAGUAAUCGCAGAUCAGCAUGCUGCGGUGAAUACGUUCCCGGGCCUUGACACACCGCCCGUCA
rnacentral:rRNA from 1 species